AGAUAAAGAGAGAUCAGAAAUACAAGAGGCAGAGGAAGCAAGGUUGAAGAAAAUUAGGAAAUGCAGAUAUCAACAUUGAUGUUGAUUGGAUUAAUUUAAUUUUCAAGUAUUAUAACAUAAUUAUUUUAAUCUUCAUGUUAUGUAAUUUUAAAAUAAUAAUUUACCAAGUACAUUUUAAUCUGGUGUAUUUUGUUUAAUGGCUCCAUUUCACUUAU